rnacentral:rRNA from 1 species
GUGCAGCAGUCGCGAAAACUUUGCAAUAAGCGUAAGCUUGACAGGGCUAUCCCGAGUGCCAUCCGCUGAGGAAGGCUUUUACCCAGUCUAGAAAGCUGGGGGAAUAAGGAGAGGGCAAGUCUGGUGUCAGCCGCCGCGGUAAUACCAGCUCUCCGAGUGGUGGGGACGUUUAUUGGGCCUAAAGCAUCCGUAGCUGGCUGAGUUAGUCCCCUGUUAAAUCCACCGAAUUAAUCGUUGGAUUGCGGGGGAUACUGCUCGGCUAGGGGACGGGAGAGGCAGACGGUAUUUUCGGGGUAGGGGUGAAAUCCUAUAAUCCCGGGAGGACCACCAGUGGCGAAGGCGGCCGACUAAAACGCGCCCGACGGUGAGGGACGAAAGCUGGGGGAGCGAACGGGAUUAGAUAUGAAGUUGAGUUUUUACCAGCUUCACUAGAAACCCCGGUAGUCC